UGCAUAGAGCAAAACAAAACAACAGUCAAAAGAAGUGUAAAAUAAUACAUUUUCAAAGAUAAAUGUUGGAGGAUUUUGGUAUAAGAGAGAAGGAGCUUGAGUUUUGCCAUUUGUUUGAUCCGUGAGAGGCGUCUACUCUCACGCUGCUCCUAUAUUUUCCAUUAUGCGAAUGUUAUCUAAAUGUAAACGUUCAUGGAACCUUUCCACUGGACAAAAAGUUCUUUAUAGGGUAAAAAGGUUCCAUGAAAUUUCACACUAGCCUUAUAACACAAUGCCAAUCAAUAAAAGAAAAAAACACAAUAGAAGCAUUAAAAUUCAAUAGUCCUUAAGUCUAAAAGUGAUCCCAUUAUGGACAAUGAAAGGUUAAUAUUUUGAUUUUCGGAGUCCACAACAACAGGUUUAUAUGCAUGCAUGGUCUUAUAAUAUGCAUGUAUUUCUACCUUAUUUGCUCAAAGACUCCCGAAACGUUUUUUUUUUUACGAUGAAUUUUAUUAAUUUUACGUGAGGUUAAUAUGCAUUGAUUGGUCUGAUGACCCAGUCUGUUGUGAUUGGUCUACUCCAUGCAGUGCAUAUCAGAAACGGAACACCCAUCAACAAUUCUGGAUCCCGGCUUAGGAAGUAUAUAAAGUUUAUGAACAGACUGUCACGGCGCGGUAGAGACGGCGCCGUGGAAAGAACAAGAUCUGGGUCCAAGUGCAGGGAAGAGACAAUUUAUUUUGACAAGAGCAAACGAGAACUAAAAGGCCAACACGGCAAAAACAAAACCAAAACUAAUCACAGGGGCAAGCAGGAAAACGAGCAUGAGAAACACAGGUACAUAGACAUUACAGUCUAGCCAGGCAGAGUGGUGGGUGAGACGAAACUAUAUACUCGUGAACAAAUAGGGAACAGCUGUGUGCGUGAUUAUGUGCACAGGUGUACAGAGUGAGUGGAUGCAACAGGUGUAAUGAGUGAAUAAGGUAAUGGGUCAGGGAGCCAGGGAGAAACACAGGUGGAGCAACUAAACAGUAAAGAGGUGACAAGGUGGGCGGGGUCAGAAAAGGAAAGGAGAGAGCACAUGGCACCAAAUAACACAACACAAGCCAUGUGCUCACAGAAGACAAAGACAGAAAGACAGUAGACUGUGACACAGACAACAUGGCUUCUUCAAUUUUGCCUUAUCAAUUUAAGCCUGAAUACAUUGGGGAAGCACCCAGAGCUGUUGAUGAAUCCCGCUUUGUAUGCAUUUAGGUUGCUAUAGCAGUCAUCAGUAAAAUGAGGGGGCACAACACAAAGCUGAGACUAUACUGCUGUGGUAUUGUAAAAAUGAAUUUGACCCUUGCACUCUUCACAGCCUCAUCCUUCGGCCAUGAAAAAAAUAAAAAAAUAAAUUACCCUCCCAUUGCAGAGCACA